CCUACGGGAGGCAGCAGUGGGGAAUUUUGGACAAUGGGGGCAACCCUGAUCCAGCCAUGCCGCGUGUCUGAAGAAGGCCUUCGGGUUGUAAAGGACUUUUGUUAGGGAGCAAGUCCUGCAGGUUAAGAGCUAGUAGGGAUGAGAGUACCUAAAGAAUAAGCACCGGCUAACUACGUGCCAGCAGCCGCGGUAAUACGUAGGGUGCAAGCGUUAAUCGGAAUUACUGGGCGUAAAGGGUGCGCAGGCGGUAUUGUAAGCCAGAUGUGAAAUCCCCGGGCUCAACCUGGGAACUGCGUUUGGAACUGCAAUGCUAGAGUGUGUCAGAGGGGGGUGGAAUUCCACGUGUAGCAGUGAAAUGCGUAGAGAUGUGGAGGAACACCGAUGGCGAAGGCAGCCCCCUGGGAUAACACUGACGCUCAGGCACGAAAGCGUGGGGAGCAAACAGGAUUAGAUACCCUGGUAGUCCACGCCCUAAACGAUGACAACUAGCCGUUGGGAACUUCGGUUCUUGGUGGCGUAGCUAACGCGAGAAGUUGUCCGCCUGGGGAGUACGGUCGCAAGAUUAAAACUCAAAGGAAUUGACGG
rnacentral:rRNA from 1 species